rnacentral:rRNA from 1 species
UAUAAGUAACAUUUAAUAUUAAUAUUAUAAUUGAUUUGAAAUAAUUAUUAUAUAGAUUUAAAGAAAUAAUCAUGGAAUAUAAUAUUUAUUAUAUAAUAUAAUAAAUAGCUAUUAAUAGUAAAUAAGGUUACUAAUAAAAUAAUUAUAUUAAUUAUUUUUAAUACCUAAAGGAAACUUAAUAUAUUAUCUAUAUAUAUUUAUAUAUAUAUAUAUAAUUAUGAAUUAUACUAAGUGAAUUGAAAUAUCUUAUUUAACUUAAGGAAUAAAAAUCAACCGAGAUAUUAUGAGUAUUGAUGAGAGAAAAUAAUAAAGUCUAUUAAGUAUUAUGUAUUAACAUAUGUAAGAAUAUUGGAUUAACAAAUUCAAAGACUAAAUACUAUUAAUAAGCAUAAAUAGUACCGUGAGGGAAUAUAUGUAAAUGGUUAUUUUAUAAGCAAUCAUAGAUUUAUAAAUUAAAUUAAUGAUGUACCUUUUGUAUAAUGGGUCAGCAAGUAAUUAAUAUUAGCAACAAAUUAAUAAUUUAUAAAUAAAUUGAUAAUAUAUAUAUAUAUUUAACAAUAUAUUAUAGUUAAUAUUAAUUGACCCGAAAGCAAAUGAUCUUUCCAUGACAAGAUGUUUACGAUCGAAUAGGUUGAUGUUGCAAUAUCAUCUAAUUAGUUGUGGAAUGUUAUGAAAGAUAAAUCUGAUUUGCAGAUAGCUGGUUUUCUAUGAAAUAUAUAUUAGUAUAGUUUUAUAUAUAAAUAAUUAUUAAUUAAUAAUUAAUUAUUUAUAAUUAAUUAUUAAUUAUUGAAUGGUACAGCAAUUAAUAUAUAUUAGGGAAUUUUAAUAAUUUUAUUAAUAAUAUUUAAUCUCGAAAUAUUUAAUUAUUUAAUAUAAAAAUCAGAUUAUGUGCGAUAAGGUAAAUAAUCUAAAGGGAAACAGCCCAGAUUAAUAUAUAAAGUUCCUAAUUUAUUUAUUAAUAAUUUAUUAAUAAAUAUCAUAAUAAGUGAAAUUAAUAUUAAAAUAUUAUUAUAUAAUCAGUUAAUGGGUUUGACAAUAACCAUUUUUUAAUGAACAUGUAACAAUGCACUGAUUUAAAUUAAAAUUUAAUUAAAUUAUAUUAAUUAUUAAUUAUAAUUAAUAUUAUAAAAAUAAUAUUAUAUUAUUAUAAUAUUAUAUAAUAUUUAAAAUUAUAAAUAUAUAUUAUAUAUAUAUUUAUAUUAAUAGAUAAUAUACGGAUCUUAUAAUUAUGAAACUGAAUAUUUAAAUAUUAUAAUUAAUUAAAUAAUAAUUAUAAUAUGGUAAUAGAACAUCUAAUGAAUUAUAUUAAUUUAUUAAAUUAAUAUUAUAAAAAAUUAGAUAGAGAAUGCUGACAUGAGUAACGUUAAAAAGGUAAACAAGCCUUUUCACCUAAAGCAUAAGGUAUUACUAUAAAAGUACGGCCCCUAAUUUAAAUAUAUAAUUAUAUUAAAGAUGGGAUAAUUCUAUUAAUAAUAAAAUUAUUUAAUAUAUAUAUAUAUUAUUAUAUAUAUAUAAAUUAUAAAUAAUCAAGAAAAAUUUAUUAACUAUUGUUACCGUAAUGUAGACCGACUCAGGUAUGCUAGUAGAGAAUAUGAAGGUGUAUUAGAUAACUACAGAGAAGGAACUCGGCAAAGAUAGCUCUAACGUUAGUCAAUAAAGAGAUAUAAAAACAAGGUUGCACAACUGUUUACUAAAAACACCGCACUUUGCAAAAACUAAAGUUAUAGUAUAAGGUGUGAACUCUGCUCCAUGUUCAAGAUAUAAAAUAUAUUAUUAUUAUGAUAAUAUAUAUAAUAUUGAAUAAAUAGCAGCCUUAUCAUGAGGGUUAUAAUGUAGCGAAAUUCAUUGUCCACUAAAUAUGGUCCCGCAUGAAUGACGUAAUGAUGCAACAACUGUCUCCUCUGUAGGCUAAGUGAAAUUGAAUUAGCAGUGAAGAUGCUGUUUAAGUGUAGAUAGACAAAAAGACCCUAUGCAGCUUUACUAUAAUUAGAUAGAUCGAUUAUAUAUAUAUUAUAUUCAGUAUAUUAAGUAAUUAUUAUAAUAUUUAAUUAUUAUUAUAAUAAUAAUCGAUUAGAUAUUAAUGAGAUACUUAUUUUAAUAUAUUAUAUAAUCUAAUCUUUAAUUAUUAAUAUUUAAUAGAUUAAUUCUUAAAUAUUAUAUUUAUAUUAAUUUAUAAAUAAUAAAAGAGACAAUCUCUAAUUGGUAGUUUUGAUGGGGCGUCAUUUUCAGCAAAAGUAUCUGAAAAAUUCAUAUAUAUUAUUAUAAUUUUAUAAUAAAUUUAAUAUAUAUUAAGUAUAUUAAUUAUUAAAAAUAAUAUAUUAUUAUUUAAUAAUAAUAUAUUAUUAUAAUAGAAUAAAUUAAGUAUAGUAAAAUUGUCUAGAAAACAAUAAUUAAUAUUAUAUUUAUAGAAUAUAAUAUAUUAAAUUAAUAUAAUGGUAUAACUAUGCUAUAAUUAUAACACAAACAAGUGAAAUAAGUACGUAAUGUAUGACAUAAUGAACAAAUAAUACUGAUUGUAAAGAUUAUUGAUAAUGAAUAAAAGUUACGCUAGGGAUAACAGGCUAAUAUAACGAAAGAGUAGAAAUUGUAAGUUAUGUUUGGCACCUCGAUGUCGACUCUAUUUGUCCUCUUGGUUGUAACAGCUAAGAAGGGUUUGACUGUUCGUCAAUUAAAAAAUAACGUGAGUUGGGUUAAAUACGACGUGAGUCAGUAUGGUUUUUAUCUUCUACACUAAAUAUUAUCUUAUUAAAUCUCAUUAUUAGUACGCAAGGACCAUAAUGAAUUAACCUAUGGUGCAUAUAUUGAUUAUAUAUAUAAAUUAUAUAUAUAUUAUAUAUAUAUAAUUUAUAAUUAUAUUAAUUUAUAUACUUAUUAUUAUAUAUAAUAAGAUUAUAUAGUCAUUGUAUAGAAGCUAAGUUAAUAAAUAAUAAAUAUUGAAUACAUAUCAAAUAUGAAGUAGUUUUAAGAAGAUAAAUAUACAAAAAUAUUAUUUUGUAAUAACUAAUAAUUUUAUAUUAAAAUUUUAAUAGGUUUUAUAUAAUAUAUAUAAAAUAUCCAAUAUACUUGGAUAUCAAUAUAAUUAAUAUUAUAUUGAUACUAAUUUAUUAGUAAUCUAUAUUAAUAUCUAAUCAAUUAUUUAUAUUAAUAUUAAAUGGUUUAAUAUAUAUAAUAAUAAUAAUAAUA